rfam:Schistosoma rodhaini strain Burundi genome assembly, scaffold: SROB_scaffold0002256
GUACUUCUGAGGAGUCCCACCAUAGGACGAAACGGCGGUCGAGUAC